UAUGACAGGUGGCUGCAUGGCUGUCGUCAGCUCGUGCCGUGAGGUGUUGGGUUAAGUCCCGCAACGAGCGCAACCCUAUCUUAGUUGCCAUCAGUUCGGCUGGGGCACUCUAUGGAGACUGGCCACCUAAAGUGGAGGAAGGUGGGGGAUGACGUCAAGUCAUCAUGGCCCUUAUGUCCAGGGCGACACACGUGCUACAAUGGCCGGCACAACGGGAAGCGAAGGGGCGACCCUGAGCGGAUCCCCAAUAAAAGCCGGUCCCAGUUCGGAUUGCAGUCUGCAACUCGACUGCAUGAAGUUGGAAUCGCUAGUAAUCGUGGAUCAGCCAAGCCGCGGUGAAUACGUUCCCGGGCCUU
rnacentral:rRNA from 1 species